AAAGGAAUUGACGGGGGCCCGCACAAGCGGUGGAGCAUGUGGUUUAAUUCGAAGCAACGCGAAGAACCUUACCAGGUCUUGACAUCCUCUGACAACCCUAGAGAUAGGGCUUUCCCUUCGGGGACAGAGUGACAGGUGGUGCAUGGUUGUCGUCAGCUCGUGUCGUGAGAUGUUGGGUUAAGUCCCGCAACGAGCGCAACCCUUGAUCUUAGUUGCCAGCAUUCAGUUGGGCACUCUAAGGUGACUGCCGGUGACAAACCGGAGGAAGGUGGGGAUGACGUCAAAUCAUCAUGCCCCUUAUGACCUGGGCUACACACGUGCUACAAUGGACAGAACAAAGGGCUGCGAGACCGCAAGGUUUAGCCAAUCCCACAAAUCUGUUCUCAGUUCGGAUCGCAGU
rnacentral:rRNA from 1 species